UGGCCACAUUUAUGUACUUGGUGGUGUUGUGAUGACUAUAAAGCCAAACGAGAGAAAGCUCGGCGUGCACGCUUGAGCCCAACUGAUGUUGCACAAAAUCAUGGUGGCUCAUGUAAAUUCACUGAAACGAAACAACUACUGAAACACAAAUAUGGGCCCGAGAAAGCUUCUGACCUCAAGACAUACCAAGUGAUGAAGUCAGGCAUGAAAAACAUUGAUCUAGCCACUGGAGAUAGUGGUCCAAUAAGCAGCCAAAAAGUCCACAAACGUCUUAAUGAUUAUGCAACAUCUGCUAGUGCUGAACAUCCCGAUGAUUGGGAUCAACGACCUUUUGAUCCAGCUAUUCUCUAUGACAUCAAUGGUGGCUUGCUUCAUGGGAGACUCCCAAUGGGAGUUGGUGCUUUGAGUAAAACUAGUGCUAAGUCAGCUGCUAGAUCAAACAAUAUGAAGCCAUCCAAUUCUAGCUCCUACCGAGCAGUUCUAC